rnacentral:rRNA from 1 species
CGUAAGGCGCCGAAUGAGUCAUUAAAAAAUUAACAUCAUCCGAUCCCUAGUCGGCAUAGUUUAUGGUUAAGACUACGACGGUAUCUGAUCGUCUUCGAUCCCCUAACUUUCGUUCUUGAUUAAUGAAAACAUCCUUGGCAAAAUGCUUUCGCAGUAGUUAGUCUUCAAUAAAUCCAAGAAUUUCACCUCUGACAAUUGAAUACUAAUCGACCCCCAACUAUCCUUAUUAAUCAUUACGUCGAUCCUAAGAAACCAACAAAUAGAAUCAAACGUCCUAUUUCAUUAUUCCAUGCUAAUGUAUUAC